rnacentral:rRNA from 1 species
UACGUAGGGACCAAGCGUUGUUCGGAUUUACUGGGCGUAAAGGGCGCGUAGGCGGCGCGGUAAGUCACUUGUGAAAUCUCUGAGCUUAACUCAGAACGGCCAAGUGAUACUGCAGUGCUAGAGUGUGGAAGGGGCAAUCGGAAUUCUUGGUGUAGCGGUGAAAUGCGUAGAUAUCAAGAGGAACACCUGAGGUGAAGACGGGUUGCUGGGCCAACACUGACGCUGAGGCACGAAAGCGUGGGGAGCGAACGGGG